rnacentral:rRNA from 1 species
UCGGGAAUUUUGGGCAAUGGGCGAAAGCCUGACCCAGCAACGCCGCGUGAAGGAUGAAGUCUCUCGGGAUGUAAACUUCGUAAGAAUAGGAAGAAUAAAUGACGGUACUAUUUGUAAGGUCCGGCUAACUACGUGCCAGCAGCCGCGGUAAUACGUAGGGACCAAGCGUUGUUCGGAUUUACUGGGCGUAAAGGGCGCGUAGGCGGCGUGGUAAGUCACUUGUGAAAUCUCCGAGCUUAACUCGGAACGGUCAAGUGAUACUGCUGUGCUAGAGUACAGAAGGGGCAAUCGGAAUUCUUGGUGUAGCGGUGAAAUGCGUAGAUAUCAAGAGGAACACCUGAGGUGAAGACGGGUUGCUGGGCUGAUACUGACGCUGAGGCGCGAAAGCUAGGGUAGCAAACGGGAUUAGAUACCCCGGUAGUCCCUGAGCGGGCUGGCAAGGCGCAU